GGGGGGCUAGGAUGAAAUUUGAAAAAAAUAGGCAGGACAGGAGUUUUGAGUAAAAAAAAAAGCAGGAUGAGAUACUUACAAAAAGUCAGGACGACAAUUUAGGUAAAAAAAGUCAGGAUAUACUAAAAAAAAAAAGGCAGGACCAAACAGAGUAAAAAAUAAAAAGGCAGGACAGAGAUUACAGCUAAAAAAAAAUGCAGGACAAAAUUUUUCAUCCUAGCCCCCCCCAUAAAAAUCAAAUGGUAGCUCCCUUAA
rnacentral:lncRNA from 1 species